rnacentral:rRNA from 1 species
AGUGAACGCUGGCGGUAGGCCUAACACAUGCAAGUCGAACGGCAGCACAGUAAGAGCUUGCUCUUACGGGUGGCGAGUGGCGGACGGGUGAGGAAUACAUCGGAAUCUACUUUUUCGUGGGGGAUAACGUAGGGAAACUUACGCUAAUACCGCAUACGACCUACGGGUGAAAGCAGUGGAUCGUCGGGCCUUGCGCGAUUGAAUGAGCCGAUGUCGGAUUAGCUAGUGGGCGGGGUAAAGGCCCACCAAGGCGACGAUCCGUAGCUGGUCUGAGUGGAUGGUCAGCCACACGGGAACUGAGACACGGUCCAGACUCCUACGGGAGGCAGCAGUGGGGAAUAGUGGACAACGGGCGCAAGCCUGAUCCAGCCAUACCGCGUGGGUGAAGAAGGCCUUCGGGUUGUAAAGCCCUCUUGUUGGGAAAGAAAAGCAGCCGGUUAAUACCCCGCUGUUCUGACGGUACCCAAAGAAUAAGCACCGGCUAACUUCGUG